CCCGGCCCCCCCAAAAAAGGGGCUCUUCACCGACGACCUGCACCGGCUGGUGGAUGAAUGGGUCCAGGAUACGGCCAGGGCCCAGGCCACCUCUUCGUGGGUCUCCACCCUGCGCGGCACCCGCGGGACCCCCCGAAAAUGGGGGGAGCUGCCCCCCCCCAAACCUGCCCUGCGUGGAGGGGGCAGCCCCCUCCCCCCAGGGGCUGAGUGAGGGGGGGGUCUCGGACCCUGACCCCCCCCCCCCCAAACCCCUCUGGUUUUGCAUCAAAACCCCAAUUUCCAGUCCCCAAAUCGCUUUGUUUCACCUCAAAACCCCCUUGUUUAACCCCCUGCAUUGGGUGACCCCAAAUUUCCAGCCCUAAAAUGACCUCCUUUCACCCCAAACUUCCCCUUUUUUGGGUCCCAUGGUGUGACCCCUGUUUCUGGCCCCAAAUUUGCCUUAUUUUGCCCUAAAAUUUCCAUUUUUUUGCUGCCCCCAGGGGCUGAACCCACUUUUUGGCCUCAAUUCACCUCCAAAAUCCCAUUUUUAGGAUACUCGACCCUCCCAAUUUCUGGCCCCAAAAGCACCUCAUUUUGACCCCAAAUCUCCCCUUUUUGGCGCCAAAAUCUCUCCGUUUUAUUCCAACCUCACCUUUUUUGGGUCAUUCCCCCUUUGAAAGGUGACCCCACUUUCUGGUGCGCAAAAUCCCCUCAUUUCAUCCCAAAACUCCCCUUUUUUGUGCCCUACCCACCCCAAUUUUCUGUGUCAAAUCCCUCAUUUUACCCCCAAAAUCUCCUUUUUGAGUCUUUCCCCCUCUGCAUGAGGUGACCCCAUUUUUUAGCCUCCAAAUCACCUAAUUUCACCCCAAAAAAAUCUCUUUUGUGGCCUUUCCGCCCCUCUUUUUCACACCCCCUGAAUGUGAUGCCACUUGUUGGCCCCAAAAUUGCCUUGUUUCACCCCAAAACCCCUUUUUUGGGCCUAUCUCCCCUUUUUUACCCUUCACACAACAUUACCCCACUUUUUGCUCCCCAAAUUGCAUCAUUUCACCCCCAAAAAAUCUCUUUUAGGGCCUGCCCUUCCCCCUGAGGAUAUCACCCCAAUUUUCAGCCCCAAAAUCUCCUCAUUUCACACAAAAAUCCCUUUUUUUGGGCCUUGCUGCUCUUUUUGUCCCCACACGAAAUGACCCCAAUUUUUAGCCCACAAACUGCCUUGUUUUGCCCCAAAGCACAAACAGUUGAACCCCAACCUCUCAUUUAUCCCCAAACUCCUUUUUUUCCCUCAAAACUCUGCAAAACCCCUAAAAUUCCCAUUUUUCACCCAAAGCCCUUCACAGGCCUGGAAUUCCCCCUCACGUGACCACAGCAGAGGGGAGCGGGCUGUACUGGUUUUACUGGUGACCCACCCCCCCUAUACUGGUCUUACUGGUGCAACAACAACCCCCUCUCAUUCCUGUCCCCCUCCCUCAGCCCAUUUUUGGGUCAUUUUGUCGUGUUUUCCACUCAUCUACCUCACCCCUUCACCAAGCCAGCGAGAUUUCGGGGUGAAUUCUCGGGUGUUCUGGUUCGAGAGGGUGGGGAAGGCGUUUGUUUUGCGGGGAAAUUGUUAAAAAGCGCGGAAAAAAAAAAAAAAUCCUAAAAUUUAAGAAAUAAAAGCGUGGCUGGUGCGCGCCACUCCCAAAA